UCGAGAAUCUUCGGCAAUGGGCGCAAGCCUGACCGAGCGACGCCGCGUGGAGGACGAAGGCCUUCGGGUUGUAAACUCCUGUCGCGGGGGAGGAAGGGGGCGCGAAGAGCGUCCCUUGACCGAUCCCGGGAGGAAGCACGGGCUAAGUUCGUGCCAGCAGCCGCGGUAAGACGAACCGUGCGAACGUUAUUCGGAAUCACUGGGCUUAAAGCGCGUGUAGGCGGGUGACCGCGUCGACGGCUGAAAGCCCCCGGCUCAACCGGGGAAGCGGCCUCGAAACGGGUUGCCUGGAGGGGAGUAGGGGGACCUGGAACUUCCGGUGGAGCGGUGAAAUGCGUUGAGAUCGGAAGGAACGCCCGUGGCGAAAGCGAGGUCCUGGGCUCUCACUGACGCUGAGACGCGAAAGCCAGGGGAGCGAACGG
rnacentral:rRNA from 1 species